GCCCGCAUGGCUUAAUGGUAAAGCGCAUCACUAGUACGGUUUCAUACUGCUAUCUGCCAUGAUGAGAUCCUCAGUUCGAUUCUGAGUGUGGGCA